UCAAAAUUUUUAUCCCGCCCCAUCUUCCUUUUCUCUCUGCGAUUCAAGGCGAUCUAUGAAGAUUUCCCUAGAUCUUUCUCCAGAUCGAUGAAGAUUCCAGCAACCUAAAUCACAAUCGCACACCCAGUUGGAUUUGAGUCGUAUUUCUCUGUAAAUUUGUGGUUAUGGCUGGCCGUUAUGAUCCCAAUCCGUUUUAUGAAGGGGACGAAGUUAACCCCUUUGCUGUAAGUUAUUUCUUAUUCGAAUUAACUUGUCGGGUUUCGUUUAAUGCUUGAUUCUUCGUCCGUGUGUUGGCUUAUUUUAAGUUCAUACUGUUUAUGCUUCUAGGGUUGUUUAAAUUGACAUUUUGUUGUUCAUUUUGGGUAGAAGUUGAAGUUGGUUUGUGACUGAAUGAGUUUGAUAUCUUGUUGAUUUGUUCGGUUGGUUUCGAUUUUCGGAUCUGGUUUAGUUUCAUUUGCUGACCUGCAAUGACUUCCUUGGAUGGUUUACUGGUUGUUUAUAACAAUUUACAGAAAUUGGUUUGGAUUUAUGAAGUCUAGUUACACGAUAUUCAUACGCUAGGUGCAAAGAGUGAGCCUUGGGCUUAGGCGCAAGUGGUUUUAAGCAAGGCACUGUUGUUUUGUCAUUGAAUUAAUAGUCAAGUCAUUCUGUUGUUAUGUCAUAAUCGGGAUCAAGGGAAAGGAGCUUGAAAGUCGAACUUUAGUCGAGGCCGUUUUACACAACAAGUGUUCCUUCGGCUGCAAACUCUAGACUUUCGCCCCUUCUACAUGUGCCCGCAGAUUUCUAUGAUAGGUGUGCCCCUGUUGACAUUCCUCUUGAUUCAGCUACAGGUCGAACCCUAAACAACAACGAUGGUGAAUCAGUGGUGACAGAUGUGUUAGCAACUCACACAUCAGCUAAAUAGGUUUCUCUCUCACCAAAUUUUCAAUUUAAAGCUUUGUUCUCAACUUCUGAUCUUUGCAUAAAUUGAAUGGUAUUCAUUGAUUUGUAA